GAAAGUUGUAGGGGUCUCAGGUUUAAGAACUGACUGAAAGACAGAUAUAUAUACAUUAAGUUUCUACUUAUGAAGUAUAUUUAUAAAACAGCCCAUGUACAGGAAAAUACUGGAUUUAAAUCUCCUUUGUUUUCCAACUGAGUAAAAGGAUUUGACUCUCUUACUUUAGAAACCCUGAAUCAAGUUUUUCUUUACUCAAGGAUAGGCCAAUUCUGCUAGGUUGCAAAUGUGUUAACCCACUUUCAGAUGAAUCCAAAUUCUGCAAAUGUGCCCUCAUGUGUAGCCCUCACACACUAAGACAGUUUUAGUUCCGUUUCUCUAUCCAGGUGAGAUAGAAGAGCCAGCUCUCUUUUCCACAUGGCGUAUUUCAUAAGAUUUUUGUUUCAGCUUAGGAGCUGGGACCAAGACUGUUGUCAAGAUCCGUACCUAUAAUUGUGUUAGCUGGAAUGAACCUCUGCACUUCUGUUUGCCACAUGCACUUAUAUAGUGUACACACCUGCUUUCCUGGCACUCCAUAUUACAUGGGGCCAUUUGAAAAGAAGACAGGUAGUGUAGCUGAAAGAACCAAGAUUUUUAGCUUGAUGUCCCAGCUCUGUCUCUAGUCAUGUAUGUGUGUGUGUGUAUAUAUAGA
rnacentral:lncRNA from 1 species